GGAGGAGGAGGAGGAGGAGGAUGAUGAUGAUGAUGAGGAAACGCUGUCUGCUGCCACAGGGAGAGAUCCGGAGGGGCCUACUGAAAACAUGGCUGGGCAUCACCAAGAGGAGGGUCCAUCAACUUCUAGAGCACAGCUUGACACAGUGAGAUUUUCAGUCAAUACCAUGUUAAAUCUGUAUGUAGAACUGCAGGAAUUAAAUGUCGUCCAUAUGUUUCCGAGUUGCCGGUAAAAGAGUUGUACAGGGUGCACCUAAUGAAAACCAUUCAAAAAACCGAGAAAGAAAUGGUGUACCUGGACCGGCAAAUCAGAAAAACAGACUUGGAAAUUCUAUUACUUGAACGCCAGUUGAGGUGGGUGCAUUGUCAUGGUGAAACAGGUGAAUAUGUGAAAUAUGUUAAUAGUUGGAACUAUAUUACAAAUCCUGACUGUUGCUUUUGUACUUUUAGAGAAUAAAGAAGAACCAAAUCA